AGUAAUAUGCCUGAUAAAAGGAAUAUUUUGAUGAAAUAAAAAUGUAAUUUUAAUUUUACUAUUACUA
rnacentral:tRNA from 1 species